UCUUCACGCAGCUACCUGUUUUCUUUCUUUUUUUUAGCUACCUGUUUUCUGAAAGGAAAUAGCACCGUCCCUUGGGGUGCUCAUGCUGGAGUUGAUAGGAUGGGACAUACACAUGGAAAAUGCUGGAAAAUAGACUUAUGUGACCCGGCCACAUGUGAGCUCGUGUUGUGCAGGGGCGUAGCAUCUUGUCCACACACUAUAGAGACAGCCCGGAACCCCAGGGCUCCCAUUCGGAAGAUGGGGUCGAACUUGCAGGGAAAAUCCAUCCACCCUGGGAGGCUGGAGGAGGAAAGGAGUGCUGUGUAUGGGCUCACCUGGGCUGGCCCCGGAGGCUUCUGGAGGUGGUCUCCGGCUUGGAGCGUCAGAUGGGUGACCACAGUCUCGGGCUGGCUCGGGGAAGGGUGCCGGAUGCACCCGGUGGGCCAGAUGACUUCUACAGAACCCUGUCCCCGACUCCCAGCCAAGCUUCCUCCCCCCGGGUCUGUACCACCUUCUCGACGAAGCAGGUGCUUUAUCACUUCCAAGGAUUGAUGCACGCAGCCUCGGGUGGCUGGCCCGGAGAGAGAAGUUCAGUUCGCAGGGAGGUGGUGGCUGGCAUUUCGGCCUGUCAGGGCCGAGCAACAGAGGAGUGGCAGCCACGUCCUGGAUCCGCAGUCUCCGCGAAUCGCACUUGGGGAGAGCAUCGCGUGGAGCCCAGCGCCCCCGGCAGGCCUGAUUUACCCGCACAAGGACCCCUGGGCCUGCAGGGUUCCAUUCUGCAGACCCUUACGUGCUGCGGCCUUUGUUGCUGAGAGGAGCCUAUAGCCUGCAGCCUGUGCCUCUCUACUAGAAGGGUGAUCUUCAGCCAGCGGGAACAGAUGGCCCCUCACAGGAUCCAACUGAGCAGAGCUUGCAGAAGGGGCGACUCCCGGAGGUGUGCGCAGGGGUGACGGUGUGCCCAGGGGCUCUUGCAGAGGGCUUGUCGAACAGUAGAUGAACUUCGCGGGGUGCAGAGCAGCAGAGAGAAAGGUGGAGGGUGGAUCUGGAGGGCAAAGGCUAGUUCAUGGGACCUUUCUGUGCCUCAGUUUCCCCAUUUGUAAGAUGGUGGUGAUAACACCUGCGCCAUAGAGCUAUUGUCAGAAUUAAACGGAUCAAUCAGUGUCUGGAUCUGUACUGAUUGUUCAGAGCAGUGCCUGGCACUGUGUUCGCUGUUAGCUGUGUUGGUACCAUGCUCCCACACACAUGGGUUCCCGUCUUCUAGGCCCCCGAGUUUCCUUCUCUUUUAUCUAAAUCCGGCUCCUGCCACCUGGCUCUUGGAAAGGGGCUAUUGGUCGGCUCACACUAAGGUGUACACAACUGAUAGGCUUCAGGAGUUCUCUCUGCCCGGGGGCAUUCGCAUGUUAUAGGAGGCUCUGCAUCCUCCGGAGCUUAAGGCUCUAACUCCAGACCCCAGGUCUUUGGUAACUGAAGCAAAGGCAGGAGAAUGGCCUCCUCUUCCUACACUGAAUAGUAACAACCAGCAGGGAGAUAUUGGGGUGAACGCCAGCUUCCC
rnacentral:lncRNA from 1 species